AGGACGAACGCUGGCGGCGUGCUUAACACAUGCAAGUCGAGCGGAAAGGCCCUUCGGGGUACUCGAGCGGCGAACGGGUGAGUAACACGUGAGCAACCUGCCCUUAGCUCUGGGAUAGCUCCGGGAAACCGGAAUUAAUACCGGAUAUGACCUAGGCCGACAUCGGCCGUGGUGGAAAGUUUUUCGGCUAGGGAUGGACUCGCGGCCUAUCAGCUAGUUGGUGGGGUAAUGGCCUACCAAGGCGACGACGGGUAGCCGGCCUGAGAGGGCGACCGGCCACACUGGGACUGAGACACGGCCCAGACUCCUACGGGAGGCAGCAGUGGGAAUCUUGCGCAAUGGGCGAAAGCCUGACGCAGCGACGCCGCGUGUGGGAUGAAGGCCUUCGGGUUGUAAACCCCUUUCGGCAGGGACGAAGCGAAAGUGACGGUACCUGCAGAAGAAGCGCCGGCUAACUACGUGCCAGCAGCCGC
rnacentral:rRNA from 1 species